UACAGAGGUCUCAAGCGUUGUUCGGAUUCAUUGGGCGUAAAGGGUGCGUAGGCGGCGCGGUAAGUCGGGUGUGAAAUCUCGGAGCUUAACUCCGAAACUGCAUUCGAUACUGCCGUGCUUGAGGACUGGAGAGGAGACUGGAAUUUACGGUGUAGAGGUGAAAUUCGUAGAUAUUCGGAAGAACACCAGUGGCGAAGGCGGCUCACUGGCCCGGUACUGACGCUGAGGUGCGAAAGCGUGGGGAGCAAACAGG
rnacentral:rRNA from 1 species